GUUGAGCUAUAACAGCUUGGCAAAUGUUGGGCGUGAUCAUAAAACAGACCAGAACGCUGUUGGACACAUUUUUCCGUUCAGAGGGAGAGAGAGAGCAUCUCAUCAUGCAGAUGGUUCUCCUAUUGUUUUCGCUCAUGGGCGUUUGUCAGAGCGUUGAGGUCCAUCAAACUCCCCCGGCAGCUCUCAGAAACCCGGGUCAGAAGUUCCAGAUGGUCUGCAGCCAUGGAAAGACCGACUACACGCUCAUGCAGUGGUACCAGAAACUCCCCGGAGACGAAGCGCUGAGGCGCAUUGGACACUUGAACUACGGCAACAAAGAACUUGAAAAACCCUUUGAGGGACAUUUUAGCUUUACUGGAGACUUGACUGGAGACACGGAGAAGAACGGCUCUCUGAUAAUCACGGACCUGAAGCCUGAACACACUGCGGUGUAUUACUGUGCAGCCAGCUAUGCACAAUGACAGCAGGGCCAGUGAUCCUCAUACAAAAACUGCUGAUUUCUGCCUGAAUAAGCCCCGCCCACUUCUUGAUUUACUUCACUUGAGCGUCGGAGUCAGAGUCGCAGUCUGAUAGUAUUUGUUACACUUUUAAGACUUAACGUCACCCAUCGGGUUUUAACAUGAUUCACUUUCUCCUCUUUUGUUCCAUAACAGGUAUUUCUAAUCGACAAGCUUCCAACGAAUCGUGUCGAGACGAUUAAUCGAUCUUUGUGGUCUUCCAGGUGCUGCUUUCGGUCUCGAGGUCCGUCAGUCCCGCUCCGAUAUCAUCGUGAAACCCGGAGGAAAAGUUCACAUCUUCUGCACCCACGAGAAAACGGACUUCUGGGUGAUGCUCU